UACGUAGGGGGCUAGCGUUGUUCGGAGUUACUGGGCGUAAAGAGUGCGUAGGCGGUUUUCUAAGUUUGGUGUGAAAUCUCCCGGCUCAACUGGGAGGGUGCGCCGAAGACUGGAAGGCUUGAGUAUGGGAGAGGUAAGCGGAAUUCCUGGUGUAUCGGUGAAAUGCGUAGAUAUCAGGAGGAACACCUGCGGUGUAGACGGCUUACUGGACCAUAACUGACGCUGAGGCACGAAAGCGUGGGUAGCAAACAGG
rnacentral:rRNA from 1 species